CCAGUCAAGCCUCUCAAAGAUGCUCAAAUGGCUGGC
rnacentral:ncRNA from 1 species